rnacentral:rRNA from 1 species
UAGGGAAUCUUCCACAAUGGACGAAAGCCUGAUGGAGCAACGCCGCGUGUGUGAUGAAGGGUUUCGGCUCGUAAAACACUGUUGUAAGAGAAGAAUGACAUUGAGAGUAACUGUUCAAUGUGUGACGGUAUCUUACCAGAAAGGAACGGCUAAAUACGGGCCAG